rnacentral:ncRNA from 1 species
CAAAGGCUUGGUCCUGACUUUACUAUCAGCUUUAACUAAACUUACACAUGCAAGUCUCCGCACUCCUGUGAGAAUGCCCUUAAUCCCCCGCCCGGGGCUGAGGAGCUGGCAUCAGGCACGCACAAUGCAGCCCAAGACGCCUUGCUAAGCCACACCCCCACGGGUAAUCAGCAGUGAUAAAUAUUAAAUAAUAAGCGAAAGCUUGACUUAGCUAUUGUUAAAAGAGCCGGUAAAACUCGUGCCAGCCACCGCGGUUAUACGAGAGGCCCUAGUUGAUAGUCGUCGGCGUAAAGAGUGGUUUAGAGAAUAAUAGAAUAAAGCCGAACACCCCCUUAGUUGUUAUACACAUUUGAAGACACGAAGCCCUACCGCGAAAGCAGCUUUAAACAUUCUGAACCCACGACAGCUGUGAAACAAACUGGGAUUAGAUACCCCACUAUGCAUAGCCAUAAAUUUUGAUAAAAAUAUACAAUUUUAUCCGCCAGGGGACUACAAGCAUUAGCUUAAAACCCAAAGGACUUGGCGGUGCUUCAGACCCACCUAGAGGAGCCUGUUCUAUAACCGAUAACCCCCGCUUAACCUCACCAGCCCUUGUUCAUCCCGCCUAUAUACCACCGUCGCCAGCUUAUCCUGUGAAGGUCCUAUAAUAAGCAAAAUGGGUAAAACCCAAAACGUCAGGUCGAGGUGUAGCGCAUGAGCUGGGAAGAAAUGGGCUACAUUUUCUGACUCAGAAUAUACGAACUGCACUGUGAAACCAGUGUCCAAAGGUGGAUUUAGCAGUAAACAGAAAAUAGAGUGUUCUCUUGAAACUGGCUCUGAAGCGCGCACACACCGCCCGUCACUCUCUCCAAGUUCAAUUAUAUUAUUAAAUAAAAAGUAAGCCGAACAAAGGGGAGGCAAGUCGUAACAUGGUAAGUGUACCGGAAGGUGCACUUAGUUUAAU